UUUCAGGAUUUCAAGUAAGAAAAAAAUUUCAGAGUUUAGAUUACGAUACAUGGAGCACAGGUUGUGAGCUCUGUUUAGUAAGCAUGUAACAAGGUUUC